rnacentral:lncRNA from 1 species
CUUAGGUAUCCCCUCUGAGAAUUUAUCAGAAAAACAAGCAAUAAGUGAGACCAACGUUGUGAGGUAUUAACUCGGAACCGUCAUCUAUCCUUGUGGAGAAAAACCCGGAGGACUUGGAUUAGGACCCAAUAGUCUACCUUGGCGGCAGGUGAGAAUCACCUGGGGAGCUUUUGAAACAUGAGGCUGCCAGGCUGGACCUCACUCCAGACCAAUUGAACCAGAAUCUCUGAGGCGGGGCCUGGGUGUUGGUAAUUUUCCUUUGAAACACUCCCCAGGUGAUUCUAAUGGAAUCUAGGAGUGAGAAUCACUGGGGGAAGGCAUUUGUAGAUGGGAAGGCUGGUGGCAUCUGCUAGAAGACUUGAUGUGUACUUGGCCAGAGAUAAACCACAGGUCUGGCCUGAAUGGGUGUGGAAAUGUGUCAGUCAUGUUUUCAGAUUUCCAAGGUCAUUUUCCAAGAGACCUCUGUGAGCUUGGACUGGAUAGCGCAGCACAGGGCCAGCGAUGGCAGCUGGAAGGGUGGCUGCCUAGGAAGGAGGCCUGGAUCUUGAGGAGGAAGGCACUUCUGAAAUAGCUGCAACUCCCGGCACAUUGUAGGGUUGAACUUCCCUGUUUGCAUUACAUAGGACUGGUCAUCUGACUGGCUGUGGCCAGUGAAAAUGUAGAUGAAAAUAGCCUGUAUCACCUCUGGACGAGUCAUUAGGAGUCAGUGUAUGAUUUGAUACAUUUCCUUCUCUCUGCCAUGGUGAUUGGUGAUGGAGGCUCUAUUAGUUUUUGUUCCUGAGUAAAGUAAUGUGGGUAUGAGUCCCUAGCUGACUUCCAAUACGAGUGAGAAAUAAACCUUAAUUGUUUUAAGCCUCCAAGCUUUGGAGUUUGUUGUACAGCCCACCAUGACAAAUAUACUUUUAGUCCUUUAUUUACAUGCUUUAAAAUACUGCUUGCAUUUUCUGAUUACCAUAUGUUCAUUGUGGAGAAUUUCAAAAAAUAUAAAAAAAAACCUUUGAAAUCACUUACAUAGAAAUAGUCUCUGUUAAUAUUUUGAUGUAUUGUCUUCCUCUCCCAAUUUAAAAAAUCAGGAUCCUAAUAUAUACGAUAUUGAUUUUUUCACUUCAUAUAUACUCUUAAAAUACAUGAAUUUGCUGCAUAUUAUUAAUUGAUGAGGAAGUGUUAUAAUCUAUUUUUAUAUUUAUGUUUUAUAUUUAUACUAUACAAUUCAUAAGAGUCACAUUUUAUUUUUGUACUUUUUCUUGUUGUAAAUAACAUUCCAAUGAAACUUUUGUGAUUAAGUCUUUGCUCAAAUUGCUGCUGCUGUCCUUGGAGUAGAUCCCUAGAAGGUGAACGACUAGGUCAAGGAGUAUGCAUACUUUUAAGAUUUUUGCUACCUAUUGCCAGGAGAAAGGUUAUACCAAUUAACACGUCAGC